UACGUAGGGUGCGAGCGUUAAUCGGAAUUACUGGCGUAAAGCGUGCGCAGGCGGUUUUGUAAGCCAGAUGUGAAAUCCCCGGGCUUAACCUGGGAAUGGCAUUUGGGACUGCAAGGCUGGAGUACGGCAGAGGAGACUGGAAUUCCUGGUGUAGCAGUGAAAUGCGUAGAGAUCAGGAGGAAUACCGAUGGCGAAGGCAGGUCUCUGGGCUGAUACUGACGCUCAUGCACGAAAGCGUGGGGAGCAAACAGG
rnacentral:rRNA from 1 species